CAAACCAACAAAGUACCUGACAUGGUGGACCUUCAAGAGUUGAAGGUGUGGUUAUCUGAAAUUAUGGGUUUAUGAAUUUGAACAGCUUUUAAUAUACCAGCAGUUCCAACAGCAUGGUUCCUGCAAUCCAAAAAAAAAGAGAUAGGAACAAACCAGCUAGUAUAGGCCAAAAGAACAAAGUACAGAACAGCGUUGUAACCACAGAUGGGAUUCAUUUAAUUGUUAGUCUGUUAAUUAAUUGAUAAAUUCUAUGUUUAAUUCUGAUAUAUAAUUAGUUCAUGGCAAAUAAGAAUGCUCUUCCAAAAAACUUGGUGUGUUGUAGUUGGUUAUGGAAAUACAAAUUGUCUUUGAAUAGUUGGUCCCUUCCUAUCCAAAUCUAUUUUAUUGGGUCGAUCAGCUCGACAGAUAUUAUUGUCAACUUUUUUUAACUAGUUUAUUGUGAAUUCUAUUUUUUCACAUUAAUUAAGUUUGUUUUAAACUAGUUCAUUGCAUUAAAAGUCAAUGUAUUGUAUUUUAAUACGUAUAUUGGUAUCACGUUGUCGUCCCAAGAGUGAAGACAUUUGGUUUUCCCACAAUUACUUUAGUAUAUAAAGUAAAUAGAAAUUUAUGAAAUUUAAACACAAUUAAGGUUUAUGAGACAAAAAAAGGAUGGUUGGGAUUGAUUUUAGGAGUUUUGGACCUAACAAUUGUAGGAAUAAGGGAUAAAAAAGGGCCCAAUUAAGCAUUUUUCUUGGUUUUCGCACAACUGUAGUAUAAGUAAAUAGUAAUCUAUGAAACUUAAACAAAGGUUUAGGACCACAAAAGGAAGGUUAAGAUUGAUUUUGGAAAUUUUGGUCCCAAUAGUUUACGAAUCAGGGGCCAAAAGGGUCAUGAACAUAACUUAGUUUGAUUUUAACAAAAAAUGAAUUCUUUAGGUUCUUUGAUAUGCCGAAUUUAAUUUUGUAUUUAGAUUUUUUUUUAUCCUGUUUUCAAAUUGGUCUACAUUAAGGUCCAAAGGGUCUAAAAUUAAACUUUGUUUGAUUUUAACAAAAAUUGAUUUCUUGAGGUUCUUUGAUAUGCUAAAUCUGAACAUGUACUUAGAUUUUUUAUUAUGGGCCCAGUUUUCAAUUUGGUACAAAUCAGGGUCGAGAAUUCAACAAAAAUUGAAUAUAUUUGGUUCCUUGAAUUUAUAGUUUUGAUAUUUGGGACCUGUUAUCAAAUUGGUUCACAUAGAAGUCUAUAGGGUCCCAAUUUGAACUUUAUUUGGUUUCAUCAAAAACUGAAUUCUUGUGGUUCUUUGAUAAGCUGAAUCUAACCAUGUAUUUAGAUUUUGGAUAUUGGACCAUAAAAAGUAAAUGUCCGAUUCAAAAAUUUUAAGUUCUUAUUAAACUUCAUUCAUUCUGUGUCAACUAUUUAAUCACAUUCCAAAUUCAGAGUUGUAUUUAAUAGGCUUGAUUGUUGUGUCCAUACUUGCCCCAACUUUUCAGGGUUCGGUCUCUGCGGUUGCAUAAAUCUGCACCCUGCAGAGCAUUUUUUUAUUAUUUACGAGUUUGUCAUGUAAAAUUUUAUCUCGUUAUCUAUUUUAUUGUAAAUUUUUAAUUAUUUAUUAAAAACUUAAAUCAUAUUUAUGAUAUCAAAGUCCCAAAAACUAUACUUAUUGAAUAAUGCUUUAUUUCACUUUAAAUUAAGCAGCUCCCUUGAAAAGUUGAUCUGUUACCACAUAAAAAAAAAAAUGAAAUUUUUAGUAUAAAUAAAAUUGUGUUGGUUAUGUCAAUCAGUACUUCUUAGUAUCAGUUUUUAUGCAUAGGUGAAGAAUUUUGAAAUGAGAAUUUAUAUAUUUGUUUUAUAUGCCCAUUUAUGGAAGGUAUUGUGGUAUACACAGUCAAUUUUGCAUAGGUACUAUGUCUGUACCAAAAAUCUGUAGUACUGGAAAUAUACUUUUCAUAUUCAGUACUAUUUUGUUGCUCUAAAAUUAUUGUAAUAUUGAGGUUCCUGUAUUUUACAGUACUUGAUUUGUACUUGAAAGUUUUAUAGUUAUUUUAUUUUACUAUAUGACUUUAAAUUAUUUGUUUUCUCAUUGGUAAAAUCCUAGGAAACACUCUUUGAUAAAACAUAUUCACUGUGAAAAAAGAUGUAAUAACUGUAACCAAGAAACAAUAAUUGUAUAUUAUCUAUGUGUUUCUGUGCCACUGCAAAGUAUUUGUAUGGUUAUUAAUCAAGUCAAAUAUUGAGUUAUCUCCCAUAUGAAAAACAGUUUUUCCAUAAUCACAUGGAAAAUCAAAGUAAUCAUUGGAGUCAAAGUUAAAAUGUAUUAGUUCAAAGACUCAGUAGGUUAAUUUCAAGCCAUAGACCAUGAGUUUAAAUGCAAACGAUGUUCCCUGAAUGAAAACAGGUCAAAUAGAUCCUUAAGGAGGCUAGAGGGUAUUAAAAAUGAUAGCAAAAUUUUAAACAUUUCUUUUUUUCAUUACAAAUUUUAAUUAUUACACUAUAAGUUGUUUCUUUAUGUUAUUGUACAAAAAUCAACCAAUAAAACCGAUUAGUUUUGGCCCAGAUGACUAUAUGUUUAUAUCAUUGAAAAAGUUCCAAAUUAUCUCCCUUGUUUG